AUUGAACGCUGGCGGCAUGCUUUACACAUGCAAGUCGAACGGUAACAGGGUGCUUGCACCGCUGACGAGUGGCGAACGGGUGAGUAAUGCGUCGGAACGUGCCGAGUAGUGGGGGAUAACGCAGCGAAAGUUGUGCUAAUACCGCAUACGUACUGAGGUAGAAAGUGGGGGACCUUCGGGCCACACGCUAUUCGAGCGGCCGACGUCUGAUUAGCUAGUAGGUGAGGUAAAGGCUCAACUAGGCGACGAUCAGUAGCGGGUCUGAGAGGAUGGUCGGCGACACUGGGACUGAGACACGGCCCAGACUCCUACGGGAGGCAGCAGUGGGGAAUUUUGGACAAUGGGCGAAAGCCUGAUCCAGCCAUGCCGCGUGUCUGAAGAAGGCCUUCGGGUUGUAAAGGACUUUUGUCAGGGAGGAAAUCCCUAGUGCUAAUAACACUGGGGGAUGACAGUACCUGAAGAAUAAGCACCGGCUAACUACGUGCCAGCCGCCGCGGUAACAC
rnacentral:rRNA from 1 species